CCCCUGCCCGGGCGUGGAGAGGCCCCCAUCCCACUCUGACCAUCUCCGUGGUGUUAACUCUGUCCCUGUCUCACCUUAUCAUUUCCAGGGUGACCGAGGCGAGAGGGGCCCAGAAGGGUUCCGCGGCCCCAAGGGUGACCUCGGCAGACCUGGUCCCAAGGGAAUCCCCGGAGUGGCCGGGCCAAGUGGGGAGCCGGGCAUGCCAGGCAAGGACGGCUGGAAUGGCGUGCCAGGACUCGAUGGCCAGAAGGUUGGCAUGGGGCUUAGGGUGUGAUGAGAGGGAGGGGACUGGAGGGGAGUUCAGCCUUCUGAGGCCUCAGCCUCCCCUUCCCCACCCCAAUCUCUGUCCUCACAGGGAGAGGCUGGUCGCAAUGGUGCUCCGGGAGAGAAGGGCCCCAAUGGGC
rnacentral:lncRNA from 1 species